AUGGAGCUCAAGGCCAUGAGCAGGCAUACCAGCCCAGUGAACCCAGCUGUCUUCCUCCAUCUGACCAUGGUGUUGUUGGCCACUGGCCUGUUGUUCACUGCCUGGUUCUCUGUUUACGAGGUAACCUCCACCAGGUACACAUGGGAUACCUACAAAGAGCUCCUCAUCUCCUUGGUGGCCUCACUCUUCAUGGACUUUGGGGUCCUCUUCCUGCUGUUCUGGGUCGGCAUCUACAUAUGACUCCCAAGGAUACCAACCAGGUAGCUUCACUGAAUCCCUGCUUUUGUAAAUUAGUUUUUUUUUUUUCUUUAACUAUUGCUGGAAGAGUCCCGCCUGCUGCUCACAAUAAAGGCAGAU